rnacentral:misc_RNA from 1 species
CGCACCUUGCGCUCCUUGGCAUUCCGAGGAGCAUGCCUGUUUGAGUGUCAUUAAAUUCUCAAUCCCAUAUAAUUUUGUGUUAUGUGGUGAUUGGACUGUGGAGGCUUGCUGGCUUGUUUCAGCUCCUCUGAAAUGUAUUAGCAGGGCUAUCAAUGCCUUCUGUGCUUUGUAUGAUAUGUAUCUAUACACUGUUGCAGUUGCGCACGUCUGCUUCCAACUGUCUUGUAUGAGACUUUUGACCAAUUUGACCUCAAAUCAGGUAGGACUACCCGCUGAACUUAA